UACGGAGGGUACAAGCGUUAUCCGGAUUCACUGGGUUUAAAGGGUGCGUAGGCGGACAGGUAAGUCAGUGGUGAAAUCUCCGAGCUUAACUCGGAAACUGCCUUUGAUACUCUCUGUCUUGAAUAUGGUGGAGGUAAGCGGAAUAUGUCAUGUAGCGGUGAAAUGCUUAGAGAUGACAUAGAACACCUAUUGCGAAGGCAGCUUACUACGCCUAUAUUGACGCUGAGGCACGAAAGCGUGGGGAUCAAACAGG
rnacentral:rRNA from 1 species